rnacentral:rRNA from 1 species
ACCCUGCUCCAUGGUAUCUAAAUAGCCGCAGUACCUUGACUGUGCAAAGGUAGCAUAAUCAAUUGGCUUAUAAUUGAAGUCUAGUAUGAAAGGGAGAAUGUGUAAAUACUGUCUUAAUUAAAAUAGUAUAACUUACUAAUUAAGUGAAAAUUCUUAUAGAUAAAUAAUAGACGAGAAGACCCUAGAAAUUUGUAAUUAUAUUUUGUUGGGGCGACAAGGUAACAGUACGAACUUACCUAUAAAAUAUAACUUUUGUAUACAUUAUAACUAAAUUACUCUAGGGAUAACAGCAUAAUGCUAUAUAGAGUUUGUGACCUCGAUGUUGGACUAAGAAGAAUACAGUUCAAAAGAUUGUAUAUCUGGCUCUGUUCGAGCCCCUCUUCUU